rnacentral:sRNA from 1 species
GCUGGGCACAGUGGCACACGCCUGUAAUCCUAGCCUCUUGGGAGGCUGAGACAGGAGGAUCACAAGUUCAGAGCCAGCCUCAGCAAUGGAGAGGCACUAAGCAACUCCGUGAGACCCUAUCUCUA